AUGUUCGAACAUAAGGAUGCCCAUCGGUACACUUGGUACCAGGGCAGCCUAGGUCGCAGGUCGAUGAUAGACUUUGUAGUCGUAUCAUCUGACCUGCGGCCGUAUGUUUUGGACACCCGAGUGAAGAGAGGAGCGGAGCUGUCAACUGAUCACCACCUGGUGGUGAGUUGGAUCAGAUGGCAGGGGAAGAUGCCGCGUAGACCUGGCAGACCCAAACGCAUAGUGAGGGUCUGCUGGGAACGCCUGGCAGAAGAACCUGUCAAGACGGUCUUCAACUCCCACCUCCGGCAGAGCUUUGACCGCGUCCCGAGAGCAGUGGGGGACAUUGACUCCGAGUGGGCCUUGUUCCACUCUGCGAUUGUUGAGGCGGCUGUUGCUAGCUGUGGUCGCAAGGUGGCCGGUGCCAGUCGUGGUGGCAACCCCCGUACCCGCUGGUGGACACCAGAGGUUCGGGGAGCCGUCAGGCUGAAGAAGGAGGCCUACAGGGCGUGGCUGGUCUGUGGGUCUCCGGAGGCAGCAGACAGGUACCGGAUAGCCAAGCGGGGUGCAGCAGUGGCAGUUGCCGAGGCAAAAUCUCGGGCGUGGGAGGAGUUUGGUGAGGCCAUGGAGAAAGACUAUCGAUCGGCUCCAAAGAGGUUCUGGCAAACUGUCCGGCGCCUCAGGAGAGGAAGGCAGCAACUCGCUCACACUGUUUACAGUGGGGAUGGGGAGCUGCUGACGUCAACUGGGGCUAUANGCUCGGCGAUUGUUGAGGCGGCUGUUGCUAGCUGUGGUCGCAAGGUGGCCGGUGCCAGUCGUGGUGGCAACCCCCGUACCCGCUGGUGGACACCAGAGGUUCGGGGAGCCGUCAGGCUGAAGAAGGAGGCCUACAGGGCGUGGCUGGUCUGUGGGUCUCCGGAGGCAGCAGACAGGUACCGGAUAGCCAAGCGGGGUGCAGCAGUGGCAGUUGCCGAGGCAAAAUCUCGGGCGUGGGAGGAGUUUGGUGAGGCCAUAAAGAAAGACUAUCGAUCGGCUCCAAAGAGGUUCUGGCAAAUUGUCCGGCCUCAGGAGAGGAAGGCAGCAACUCGCUCACACUGUUUACAGUGGGGAUGGGGAGCUGCUGACGUCAUCUGGGGCUAUAGUCGGACGGUGAAAGGAUACUUUGAGGAGCUCCUCAAUCCCACCUACGCGCAUUCCGAGGAGGAACCAGAGCCGGGAGACCUGGGGAUGGACUGUCCAAUCUCGGGGGCAGAAGUUGCUGAGGUAGUCAAACAACUACACAGCGGCGGAGCCCCGGGGGCGGGUGAGGUUCGCCCUGGGUAUCUCAAGGCUAUGGAUGUUGUAGGGCUCUCGUGGUUGACAUGUCUCUGCAACAUUGUGUGGUCAUCGGGGGCAGUUCCUGUGGAGUGA
rnacentral:lncRNA from 1 species